rnacentral:lncRNA from 1 species
CCUUGAGCCUCAGAGAUCAAGGCUGCAGUGAGCCGUAAUUGGGCCACUGCACUACAGCCUGGGUGACAGAGACAGAGUGAGACCGUGUCUCAAAAAAAAAAAAAAAAAAGUAACCAUAAGAGAGUUGCAGUCAUUAGUUAUGUGGCUAUCAGCUAACAUAAACUUUAAGUCAAGAAAUAUUACUGGAGACAACGAGGAACAUUUAGUAAUGAUAAAAGAGUCAAUAUGUCAGGAAUGUACAAGUCAUAAAUAUGUACAUCGCUAAUAAAGCCUCAAAAACAUGAAACAAAACUGGCAGAAUUAAAAGAGAUAUAAGAAGAUAUGGACAGUUCAACAACAAUAGUUGAGGAUAUCAAUAUUCUAUUCUAAUUGAUGAAAAAAUUAGACAAUAAAUCAGCAAGGAUAUUAAAGAGUUAGAAAACAUUAUUAACCUAUGUGACCUAAUUGAUAUAUGUCCAAUGAGUCUCAACUCAUUCAGUGAGAACAGUUAAUAAAGACAUUUUUAUUACCAGAAAAUAAAAUUACAGAAUAAUAUCCCUUAACAAAAUAUUAAUACACCAAAUUCUGCAACAUAUAUAAAGGAUUAUAUACUCUGAACAAGUGGGAUUUAUUAUAGGAAUUCAAGGUUGGUUAACGUCUGAAACUUGACCAGUGUAAUAUACUAUACUGAUAGAACAAAGGACAAAAACUACAUGAUCCUCUCAAUAAUAGAUGCAGAAAUACCUUCUAACAAAAUCUAACACUCUUUCAUGUUAAAAACUCUCAACAAACUAGGAAUAGAUGGGAACUUCCUCAACCUGGAUAAAGUGCAUCUAUGAAACACCCACAGUUAACAUCAUACUUAACAGUAAAAGACUGAACAUUUCCCUGAAAUGUCAGGAACAAUGCAAAAUGUCAGUUCUUGCUACUUCUAUUCAACACUGCCCUGGGGGUCCCAGACAGUGUUAUAAGGCCAUAAAGAUGAAAAAAGACUGAAGUGGACAUUUCAUUAAAGAAGAUAUACAAAUUGCUAAUCAGCAUUAUGAUAAGGUGCUCAACAUCAUUAGUCAUUAGAAAAAUGCAAAUUACGGUUACAAUGAAAUACUACUAUACGUUCAUUAGAAUGGCUGUAAUCAAAAAAGAAAAACAAUACCAAGUGUUGGUGAGGAUGGGGAGAAAAUGGAACCAUCAUACGUUGCUGAUGGAAAUGUAAAGUGAUGUAGACACUUGGAAAAGCUAAUUGGCAGUUUUUUAAAAAAGUUAAACAAAAGUUAAAAAACCAAAGAGAAAUAAAACCAUAUGUGUUCAGAGGCAUGAAUGCCAGUGUUUACAGCAGCAUUAUUCAUAAUAUUCAAGAACUGGAAAUACUCCUGUAUGCCUGUCUAAGGCUGUUGUAACAAACUACCAUGCACACGGCUGGAUGCGGUGGCUCAUACCUGUAAUCUCAGCACUUUGGGAAGCCGAGGAGGUGGAUCACCUGAGGUCAGGAGAUUGAGACCAGCCUGGCCAUGAUGGCAAAACCCUGUCUCUACUGAAAACACAAAAAAUGAGCCGGGUGUAGUGGCAGGUACCUGUAAUCCCAGCUACUUGGGAGGCUAAGGCAGGAGAAUUGCUUGAACUCGGGAGGUGGAGGUUGCAGUGAGCCGAGAUCGUGCCAUUGCACUCCAGCCUGGCUGACAGAGAGAGACUCUGUCUCAGAAAAACAAACAAACCAGAAAAACAACUACCACAAACUGAGUGGCUUAUAUAACAGACAUUGUCUCAUAGUUCCAGAGGCUAGGAGAGAUGAAGGUAUCAGCAAGGCUGGUUCCUUCUGAGGCUGUGAAGAAUCUGCUCCAUGCCUCUCCCCUAGCUUUUUGGGGUUUGCUGACAAUAUCUGGUGUUCUUUGGCUUGUAGAAGCACCACACCUAUCUCUGCCUUUAUAUUCACAUGGGGGUGUUCUCCCUGUGUGCUUAUGUCCAAAUUUCCUCUUUUGUAAGGACACCAGUCAUGCUGGACUUAGGGGUUCAUCCUACUCCAGUAUGACCUUAUCUUAACUAAUUACAUCUGCAAAACCCCAUUUCCAAACAUGGUCACCUUCCAAGUUAUUGGGGGUUAAAACUUCAGGGCUGGGCGUGGUGGCUCAUGCCUGUAAUCCCAGCAGUUUGGAAGGCCGAGGCAGGCGGAUCACAAGGUCAGGAGAUCGAGACCAUCCUGGCUAACAUGGUGAAACCCAGUCUCUAUUAAAAAUACAAAAAAUUAGCCGGGCGUGGUGGCGGGCAUCCCAGCUACUUGGGAGGCUGAGGCAGGAGAAUGGCAUGAACCUGGGAGGCAGAGCUUGCAGUGAGCCGAGAUCGCGCCACUGCACUCCAGCCUGGGUGACAGAGCGAGACUCCGUCCAAAAAAAUAAAACUUUAACAUAUGUAUUUGGGGAUGGGGCACAAUUCAACCCAUAAUACAUCCAAAUGUCCCUCAGCUUAUGAGCGGAAAAACGAUCUCAGAUACAGUCUAUCCAUGUAACAGAAUAGUAUUCACAUAUAGAAAGGCACAAAUUACAGAUAAGUGCUAUAACGUGAACUGAGCUCUAAGGGCUCGAUUUCUCACCGGCCUUAGCUGCCUCCCUGCGGGGCAUGGCUCGGGACCUGCAGCCCGCCAUGCCUGAGCCUCCCCCUCUCUGUGGGCUGCUGUGCUGCCGGAGCCUCCCCGACAAGCACCGCCCCCUGCUCUACGGCGCCCAGUCCCAUCGACGACCCAAGGGCUGAGGAGUGCGGGUGCACGGCAUGGGAGUGGCAGGCAGCUCCACCUGCAGCCCAGGUGCGGGAUCCACUGGGUGACGCCAGCUGGGCUCCUGAGUUUAGUGGGGACCUGCAGAACCUUUAUGUCUAGCUAAGGGAUUGUAAAUGCACCAAUCGGCACCCUGUGUCUAGCUCAGGGUUUGUGAAUGCACGAAUCGACACUCUGUAUCUAGCUACUCUGGUGGG